rnacentral:snRNA from 1 species
GGAUGCCAGGGCAAUCUGGCUAUCUGUCACCCUAUUGAUUGCCAGGGUUGAUUCCGCCAUUCUGGCUGGCUGGGUGGGUGUCCCCUUCCUCCCUCACCUCUCCAAGUGUGUCCCUUCCGAAGCUGCAUGCUCAGCUGAAGAGGACACUUUUCCUGAUAGAGGAGGACUGUUCUUCAGUUAAGGGUUUACAAGUAGUGUGCUCUCCUGCUAGAACCUCCAAACAAGUUCUCAAGAUAUGCUCGUUGGUACUCUUUAAUUUAAAAAUACAAAUAAAAAGUAUGUCAAAAAUUU